CGAAACUAUUUGAUAAAUUUUUUCUUAGAUUAGAUUGUAUAAAUAAAAAGGAUUUUUUUGGAAAAGAAUUAAUAGCAUAGAUAAUUUUAUCGGAAAUAGUUAUAGCUUAUACAGAAGAUGGAUUUCAAAGAUUGUUUAUAUAGGUAAAUUCUAUAUUAAGGUUAUAGUGUAUAUUGUUAUUGUGGAAAAUUUAAGAUGAGAAGUUUCUAGAAUAUAAAAGUGUUUUUACUUUUGUCAAUGUAUUAAAAUCACUUAUAAAAUUUCUUCUAUAAAAAUUAGUUUAAUAUAAUGCUGGAAUUAGUAAAUGAAUGGGAGUAUAAUAACUAAUAUUUAACUCCAACUGUUUAGCAAAAACAUUUCCUUUAUGAAUAUUUAAAGGUAGAGCCUGCUCAGUGAUAUUAUUAAUAAACAGCCGCGGUAUUUUAACUGCGCGAAGGUAGCAUAAUUAAUUGUCUUUUAAUUGGUGACUUGUUUGAAUGGCUUAAUGAGGGUUAAACUUUUUUUAUUCUCGGUUGAAUUUAUUAUCUGGGGUUAAAAUUCCUAGAUUUAUAAAAAAGAAGAGAAGACCCUGAUGAGUUUUACAACAGAUAGAGUUGUUUAAAUGGGGCCUUACAAUUUAUUUUAUAUUUGUAUUAGAUCCUACCUUGAGGAAAAAGGAUAAAAUUACCACAGGGAUAACAGGACAAAAUUUGCUGAGAGUACGUAUCUAAGCAAGGAACUGUUACCUCGAUGUUGAAUCAAAGUGAACUUUUAGGCGCAGAAGUUUUUGGAGUGGGUCUGUUCGACCUUUAAUACUUUACG
rnacentral:rRNA from 1 species